rnacentral:rRNA from 1 species
GGGUCGUGCACGCCAGAAGUGCCCUCGCACACAAUCCACCUCACCCCUUGUGCAUCACCGCGUGGGGGCUCCUUUUGGCUCGUACCAAAGGGGUGCUCACGUUUUAACACAGACACCCAUUAGAAUUCAGUGUAGAAUGUCUUUAUGCGAUAACACGCGAUUAAUACAACUUUCAACAACGGAUCUCUUGGCUCUCGCAUCGAUGAAGAACGCAGCGAAAUGCGAUACGUAAUGUGAAUUGCAGAAUUCAGUGAAUCAUCGAAUCUUUGAACGCACCUUGCGCCCCUUGGCAUUCCGAGGGGCACACCCGUUUGAGUGUCGUGACAUCCUCAACCUUCUUGGUCUUUUUUUUUUGAUCAGGAAGGCUUGGAAUUUGGAGGUUCUUGCUGGCUUCCCCUUUGAAGCCAGCUCCUCUUAAAYGAAUUAGUGGGGUCCACUUCUGCCGAUCCUUGACAUGAUAAGAUGUUUCUGUGUCUUGGUAUAGAGC